CAGCACCUCAAGUGGUCAGGUUGAUUAUUGGGCCUAAAGCAUCCGUAGCCGGCGCUGUAAGUUUUCGGUUAAAUCUGUACGCUCAACGUACAGGCUGCCGGGAAUACUGCAGAGCUAGGGAGUGGGAGAGGUAGACGGUACUCGGUAGGAAGGGGUAAAAUCCUUUGAUCUAUUGAUGACCACCUGUGGCGAAGGCGGUCUACCAGAACACGUCCGACGGUGAGGGAUGAAAGCUGGGGGAGCAAACCGGAUUAGAGACCCGAGUAGUCC
rnacentral:rRNA from 1 species